ACCGGCGCACGGGUGAGUAUCGCGUAUCCAACCUGCCCCUUACUCAGGGAUAACCCGUCGAAAGACGGACUAAUACUUGAUGUAAUUUCGAAUAGGCAUCUGUUUGAAAUGAAAGAUUUAUCGGUAUGGGAUGGGGAUGCGUCUGAUUAGCUUGUUGGUGAGGUAACGGCUCACCAAGGCAUCGAUCAGUAGGGGUUCUGAGAGGAAGGUCCCCCACAUUGGAACUGAGACACGGUCCAAACUCCUACGGGAGGCAGCAGUGAGGAAUAUUGGUCAAUGGACGAGAGUCUGAACCAGCCAAGUAGCGUGCAGGAUGACGGCCCUAUGGGUUGUAAACUGCUUUUGUUAGGGAAUAAAAGACGUUACGUGUAAUGUUUUGUAUGUACCUUUCGAAUAAGGACCGGCUAAUUCCGUGCCAGCAGCCGCGGUAAUACGGAAGGUCCCGGCGUUAUCCGGAUUUAUUGGGUUUAAAGGGAGUGUAGGCGGCUUGUUAAGCGUGUUGUGAAAUGUAGAUGCUCAACAUCUGAAUUGCAGCGCGAACUGGCUUGCUUGAGUUCACACAACGUAGGCGGAAUUCAUGGUGUAGCGGUGAAAUGCUUAGAUAUCAUGACGAACUCCGAUUGCGAAGGCAGCUUACGGGAGUGUUACUGACGCUUAAGCU
rnacentral:rRNA from 1 species